AGUGAACGCUGGCGGUAGGCCUAACACAUGCAAGUCGAACGGUAGCACAGUAAGAGCUUGCUCUUACGGGUGGCGAGUGGCGGACGGGUGAGGAAUACAUCGGAAUCUACUUUUUCGUGGGGGAUAACGUAGGGAAACUUACGCUAAUACCGCAUACGACCUACGGGUGAAAGCAGGGGAUCUUCGGACCUUGCGCGAUUGAAUGAGCCGAUGUCGGAUUAGCUAGUUGGCGGGGUAAAGGCCCACCAAGGCGACGAUCCGUAGCUGGUCUGAGAGGAUGAUCAGCCACACUGGAACUGAGACACGGUCCAGACUCCUACGGGAGGCAGCAGUGGGGAAUAUUGGACAAUGGGCGCAAGCCUGAUCCAGCCAUACCGCGUGGGUGAAGAAGGCCUUCGGGUUGUAAGGCCCUUUUGUUGGGAAAGAAAAGCAGCAGGUUAAUACCCCGCUGUUCUGACGGUACCCAAAGAAUAAGCACCGGCUAACUUCGUG
rnacentral:rRNA from 1 species